GGCCUAUCAGCUUGUUGGUGGGGUAGUGGCCUACCAAGGCGGCGACGGGUAGCCGGCCUGAGAGGGUGACCGGCCACAUUGGGACUGAGAUACGGCCCAGACUCCUACGGGAGGCAGCAGUGGGGAAUAUUGCACAAUGGGCGCAAGCCUGAUGCAGCAGCGCCGCGUGCGGGAUGACGGCCUUCGGGUUGUAAACCGCUUUCAGCAGGGACGAGGCUUUUUGUGACGGUACCUGCAGAAGAAGCACCGGCUAACUACGUGCCAGCAGCCGCGGUGAUACGUAGGGUGCGAGCGUUGUCCGGAUUUAUUGGGCGUAAAGGGCUCGUAGGCGGUUGAUCGCGUCGGAAGUGGAAACUUGAUGCUUAACGUUGAGCGUGCUUUCGAUACGGGUUGACCUGAGGAAGGUAGGGGAGAAUGGAAUUCCUGGUGGAGCGGUGGGAUGCGCAGAUAUCAGGAGGAACACCAGUGGCGAAGGCGGUUCUCUGGACCUUUCCUGACGCUGAGGAGCGAAAGCGUGGGGAGCGAACAGGCUUAGAUACCCUGGUAGUCCACGCUGUAAACGGUGGGUACUAGGUGUGGGGUCCAUUCCACGGAUUCUGUGCCGUAGCUAACGCAUUAAGUACCCCGCCUGGGGAGUACGG
rnacentral:rRNA from 1 species